CAGUCGCCACGGUAAAACGAAGGGGGCUAGCGUUGUUCGGAUUUACCGGGCGUAAAGGGCGCGUAGGCGGACUGAUAAGUCAGGGGUGAAAUCCCAAGGCUCAACCUCGGAACUGCCUUUGAUACUGUUUGUCUUGAGUUCGAGAGAGGUAAGUGGAACUGCGAGUGUAGAGGUGAAAUUCGUAGAUAUUCGCAAGAACACCAGUGGCGAAGGCGGCUUACUGGCUCGAAACUGACGCUGAGGCGCGAAAGCGUGGGGAGCAAACAGGAUUAGAUACCCCUGUAGUCCCUGUCUCUUAUAC
rnacentral:rRNA from 1 species